rnacentral:rRNA from 1 species
CCUACGGGAGGCAGCAGUGAGGAAUAUUGGUCAAUGGCCGGAAGGCUGAACCAGCCAUGCCGCGUGAAGGUCAGUGCCCUAUGGGCGUUAAACUUCUUUUGUGCGGGAGCAAUAAUGGUCACGUGUGGCCAGACGAGAGUACCGUACGAAUAAGCAUCGGCUAACUCCGUGCCAGCAGCCGCGGUAAUACGGGGGAUGCAAGCGUUAUCCGGAUUUAUUGGGUUUAAAGGGUGCGUAGGCUGUGAGGUAAGUCAGAGGUGAAAUGCCCCCGAUCAACGGGGUGAAGUGCCAUUGAUACUGCCUGGCUGGAAUGCGGAUGCCGUGGGAGGAAUGUGUGGUGUAGCGGUGAAAUGCAUAGAUAUCACACAGAACACCGAUUGCGAAGGCAUCUCACGAAUCCGCGAUUGACGCUGAUGCACGAAAGCGUGGGUAUCAAACAGGAUUAGAUACCCCAGUAGUC